rnacentral:tmRNA from 1 species
CCCCUUUGCAUGCCCGCCAAAGCCCCCUAUAUUCACCUUGCUCCUUCGGGAGCUAUGGACAUAAACGCGCUCGUAAUAAGCGGAUCGGACCCGGGGGCGGUACCCGGCGGCUCCACCAAAUAUCCUUCAUUUGGGGAUCAUGGGGCCGAAAUAGGAUCGACGAACGUCUAAAGGGGUUAGCUUUGUCCCGGUGAGUUACCACCGUUAUCGGUACAAAUCGUACAGUUGCAAAUGACAACCGUGCUCCGACAAUGGCUCUGGCUGCGUAAGCAGUUCGAGUUUGUCGAACUUAAGCCCUUGCGCCUAGCAGCGUAAGGCGGGGUUCGCAGGCACCUGGCAACAGAAGCCUGCACU